UAUAUUGUGCUGAUUUGACUUAAAAUUAUAUAUUUGAUCUCUUAAAAAAAAGGUUAAUAGAUAAUUGGUCAAAAUUGUUUGUUUAUGCACCUGAUAUGAUAAAGACCGGCUCUAAUCCUAGUUACAAAAUUAAACAUAGUGGUGAAAUAAACAAUGGAAACAGAAACAAAUAAGCAGAACUAUAUUGUAUUACACAAGAAGUUAGUAAUUAGCUGUUU
rnacentral:lncRNA from 1 species